rnacentral:rRNA from 1 species
AGCGAACGCUGGCGGCAGGCCUAAUACAUGCAAGUCGAGCGGCCGUAGCAAUACGGCAGCGGCAGACGGGAGAGUAACACGUGGGAACGUACCCUUCGGUUCGGAACAACCCAGGGAAACUUGGGCUAAUACCGGAUACGUCCGUAAGGGGAAAGAUUUAUCGCCGAAAGAUCGGCCCGCGUCUGAUUAGCUUGUUGGUGAGGUAACGGCUCACCAAGGCGACGAUCAGUAGCUGGUCUGAGAGGAUGAUCAGCCUCACUGGGACUGAGACACGGCCCAGACUCCUACGGGAGGCAGCAGUAGGGAAUAUUGGACAAUGGGCGCAAGCCUGAUCCAGCCAUGCCGCGUGAGUGAUGAAGGCCCUAGGGUUGUAAAGCUCUUUCGGCGGGGAAGAUAAUGACGGUACCCGCAGAAGAAGCCCCGGCUAACUUCGUGCCAGUAGCCGCAGUAA